rnacentral:rRNA from 1 species
CCUACGGGAGGCAGCAGUGAGGAAUAUUGGUCAAUGGGCGCGAGCCUGAACCAGCCAAGUAGCGUGAAGGAUGACUGCCCUACGGGUUGUAAACUUCUUUUAUAAAGGAGUAAAGUGAGGCACGUGUGCCUGUUUGUAUGUACUUUAUGAAUAAGGAUCGGCUAACUCCGUGCCAGCAGCCGCGGUAAUACGGAGGAUCCGAGCGUUAUCCGGAUUUAUUGGGUUUAAAGGGUGCGUAGGUGGUUUGUUAAGUCAGUUGUGAAAUUUUGCGGCUCAACCGUAAAAUUGCAGUUGAAACUGGUAGACGUGAGUACAGUAGCGGUGGGCGGAAUGCGUGGUGUAGCGGUGAAAUGCUUAGAUAUCACACAGAACGCCGAUUGCGAAGGCAGUUCACUGGACUGCAACUGACAGUGAGGCUCGAAAGUGUGGGUAGCAAACAGGAUUAGAUACCCGAGUAGUC